GACGAAGGAUGCAAGCGUUAUCCGGAUUCAUUGGGUUUAAAGGGUGCGUAGGCGGCGCGGUAAGUCGGGUGUGAAAUCUCGGGGCUUAACUCCGAAACUGCAUUCGAUACUGCCGUGCUUGAGGACUGGAGAGGAGACUGGAAUUUACGGUGUAGCGGUGAAAUGCGUAGAUAUCGUAAGGAAGACCAGUGGCGAAGGCGGGUCUCUGGACAGUUCCUGACGCUGAGGCACGAAGGUCAGGGGAGCAAACGGG
rnacentral:rRNA from 1 species